UUUUUUCUAAUUUUCAUCCUCAUUCUUUUAAUUGCUCAUUUUUAAUCAUUUUCUUAAUUUGUUUUUUUUCUUUCAAUUUUAUCCCUUAAAAUUUCAUUUGUUUUUUUAUCCAAUUUCGGUCCUUAUUUUUUUAAUUACACUUUUUUUUUCAUUUUUUUCAUUUUAUUGCGGGUUAGUCAAGUUAACCUGAGUUGUUUUGGAUUUUUUUUUCAAUUGCAUCCUUUGACAUUAGGCUAUUGGGUCUUGAGCUUUCUGAUUUUUUAUGUUUUUUUUCUAUAUGGUUAUCUUGGGUCGCAGGUUAGUCAAGUUAACUCAGAG
rnacentral:lncRNA from 1 species